rnacentral:lncRNA from 1 species
UCCGAGGGUCUGUUUUAGCGUUAUACUUACCAUUCACCAAAACUGCUAUAGUAUCUAAAUAGUCGAAGAACUGAAGAGCAAUGAUCCGAUUUGUCAUUCCUUUUUUUUAACAGAGACAAACCUCAUAUAUUGUAUUAAUUAAGAGGAGAAUAGAUUUUCAUAAACUAUUCUUAGAACAUCUAAAGCCGGACCCCUCAAAUCCGUUUCAUACGUCCGAACAGGCCGCCACCGCGCCACAUCAUCGCUCAUGAAAAUUCGAUCUAGACGGGCUUUUUAAACAGGCCUCAAACGACCGGGCUGACCGACACC